GUUGUAUAGUCAAGUAAUUAAGUGCAUGUGGUGGAUGCCUUGGCAGUCAGAGGCGAUGAAAGACGUGAUAGCCUGCGAAAAGCUCCGGGGAGGCGGCAAAUAUCCUUUGAUCCGGAGAUGUCUGAAUGGGGGAACCCACCUACUUUAAGGUAGGUAUUGCAACAUGAAUACAUAGUGUUGCAAGGCGAACGAGGGGAAGUGAAACAUCUCAGUACCCUUAGGAAAAGAAAUCAAUUGAGAUUCCCUCAGUAGCGGCGAGCGAACGGGGAUCAGCCCAUUAAGUUAUGUGUGUUUUAGUGGAACGCUCUGGGAAGUGCGAACGUAGAGGGUGAUAUUCCCGUACACGAAAGGGCACACAUAAUGAUGACGAGUAGGGCGAGGCACGUGAAACCUUGUCUGAAUAUGGGGGGACCAUCCUCCAAGGCUAAAUACUCCUGACUGACCGAUAGUGAACCAGUACCGUGAGGGAAAGGCGAAAAGAACCCCUGUGAGGGGAGUGAAAUAGAUCCUGAAACCGCAUGCAUACAAGCAGUGGGAGCACCUUCGUGGUGUGACUGCGUACCUUUUGUAUAAUGGGUCAGCGACUUAUAUUCAGUAGCAAGGUUAACCGUAUAGGGGAGCCGUAGAGAAAUCGAGUCUUAAUAGGGCGUUUAGUUGCUGGGUAUAGACCCGAAACCAGGCGAUCUAUCCAUGAGCAGGUUGAAGGUUGGGUAACACUAACUGGAGGACCGAACCCACUGUCGUUGAAAAGCCAGGGGAUGACUUGUGGAUAGGGGUGAAAGGCUAAUCAAGCCUGGUGAUAGCUGGUUCUCCCCGAAAGCUAUUUAGGUAGCGCCUCGGACGAAUACCAUAGGGGGUAGAGCACUGUUUCGGCUAGGGGGUCAUCCCGACUUACCAAACCGAUGCAAACUCCGAAUACCUAUGAGUACUAUCCGGGAGACAGACUGCGGGUGCUAACGUCCGUAGUCAAGAGGAAAACAAUCCAGACCGCCAGCUAAGGCCCCAAAAUCAUAGUUAAGUGGGAAACGAUGUGGGAAGGCAUAGACAGCUAGGAGGUUGGCUUANNNNNNNNNGAAGCAGCCACCCUUUAAAGAAAGCGUAAUAGCUCACUAGUCGAGUCGGCCUGCGCGGAAGAUGUAACGGGGCUAAAACUAUGUGCCGAAGCUGCGGAUUUGACAUUAGUCAAGUGGUAGGGGAGCGUUCUGUAAGCCGAUGAAGGUGUAUUGAGAAGUNNNAUGCUGGAGGUAUCAGAAGUGCGAAUGCUGACGUGAGUAACGACAAAACGGGUGAAAAACCCGUUCGCCGAAAGACCAAGGGUUCCAGUCCAACGUUAAUCGGGGCUGGGUGAGUCGACCCCUAAGGCGAGGCCGAAAGGCGUAGUCGAUGGGAAAAUGGUUAAUAUUCCAUUACUUCUGUGUAAUGCGAUGAGAGGACGGAGAAGGCUAAAUCAGCCUGGCGUUGGUUGUCCAGGUGAAAGGAUGUAGGCAUGUAUCUUAGGCAAAUCCGGGGUACUCUAUGCUGAGAUCUGAUAGCAAGCUGUACUUGUACAGCGAAGUGGUUGAUGCCAUGCUUCCAGGAAAAGUCUCUAAGCUUCAGUUACACAGGAAUCGUACCCGAAACCGACACAGGUGGUCAGGUCGAGUAGACCAAGGCGCUUGAGAGAACUCUGCUGAAGGAACUAGGCAAAAUGGUACCGUAACUUCGGGAGAAGGUACGCUGUUGUUGGUGAUGGAACUCGCUUCCUGAGCUGACGACAGCCGCAGAAACCAGGCCGCUGCAACUGUUUAUUAAAAACAUAGCACUCUGCAAACACGAAAGUGGACGUAUAGGGUGUGAUGCCUGCCCGGUGCUGGAAGGUUAAUUGAUGGGGUUAGCGUAAGCGAAGCUCUUGAUCGAAGCCCCAGUAAACGGCGGCCGUAACUAUAACGGUCCUAAGGUAGCGAAAUUCCUUGUCGGGUAAGUUCCGACCUGCACGAAUGGCAUAAUGAUGGCGGCGCUGUCUCCAGCAGAGGCUCAGUGAAAUCGAAAUCGCUGUGAAGAUGCAGUGUACCCGCGGCUAGACGGAAAGACCCCGUGAACCUUUACUGCAGCUUGACACUGAACUUUGACCUUACUUGUGUAGGAUAGGUGGGAGGCUUUGAAGCUGGAACGCUAGUUCCAGUGGAGCCGUCCUUGAAAUACCACCCUGGUAAUGUUGAGGUUCUAACUCUGUCCCGUGAUCCGGGACGAGGACCGUGUCUGGUGGGUAGUUUGACUGGGGCGGUCUCCUCCUAAAGAGUAACGGAGGAGUACGAAGGUGCGCUCAGCGUGGUCGGAAAUCACGCGUAGAGUAUAAAGGCAAAAGCGCGCUUAACUGCGAGACCCACAAGUCGAGCAGGUACGAAAGUAGGUCUUAGUGAUCCGGUGGUUCUGUAUGGAAGGGCCAUCGCUCAACGGAUAAAAGGUACUCUGGGGAUAACAGGCUGAUACCGCCCAAGAGUUCAUAUCGACGGCGGUGUUUGGCACCUCGAUGUCGGCUCAUCUCAUCCUGGGGCUGAAGCAGGUCCCAAGGGUAUGGCUGUUCGCCAUUUAAAGAGGUACGCGAGCUGGGUUUAGAACGUCGUGAGACAGUUCGGUCCCUAUCUACCGUGGGCGCUGGAAAUUUGAGAGGAUCUGCUCCUAGUACGAGAGGACCAGAGUGGACGAACCUCUGGUGUACCGGUUGUGACGCCAGUCGCAUCGCCGGGUAGCUAUGUUCGGAAGGGAUAACCGCUGAAAGCAUCUAAGCGGGAAGCCUACCUCAAGAUAAGAUUUCCCUAGGACUUUAUGUCCUCUAAAGAGCCGUUCGAGACUAGGACGUUGAUAGGUUGGAUGUGGAAGCAUAGUGAUAUGUGAAGCUGACCAAUACUAAUUGCUCGUGAGGCUUGACUAUACAACACCCAAGCAGUUG
rnacentral:rRNA from 1 species